rnacentral:rRNA from 1 species
AUCUAUGGCCAUGCUACCCUGAACAAGCCUGAUCCAGUCUGAUCUCAGAAGCUAAGCAGGUUCAGGCCUGGUUAGUACUUGGAUGGGAGACCACCUAGGAAGACCAGGUGCUGUAGGAG